rnacentral:rRNA from 1 species
GAUGAACGCUGGCGGCGUGACUAAUACAUGCAAGUCGACAACAGUGGCGAACGGGUGAGUAACACGUGAGUAACCUGCCCUUUUCUUUGGGAUAAGCCUGGGAAACUGGGUCUAAUACUGGAUGGAUUGGGAUGGGCUCGCGGCUUAUAAGCUUGUUGGUGGGGUGAUGGCUUACCAAGGCUUUGAAGGGUAGCCGGCCUGAGAGGGUGGUCGGUCACACUGGGACUGAGAUACGGCCCAGACUCCUACGGGAGGCAGCAGUGGGGGAUAUUGCACAAUGGACGAAAGUCUGAUGCAGCGACGUCGUGUGGGGGAUGAAGGCCUUCGGGUUGUAAACUCCUUUCGCCCGCGGAAUGGUAGUGGGUAAAGAAGCGCCGGCUAACUACGUGCCAGCAGCCGCGGUAAUUC